rnacentral:rRNA from 1 species
AGUGAACGCUGGCGGUAGGCCUAACACAUGCAAGUCGAACGGCAGCACAGUAAGAGCUUGCUCUUACGGGUGGCGAGUGGCGGACGGGUGAGGAAUACAUCGGAAUCUACUUUUUCGUGGGGGAUAACGUAGGGAAACUUACGCUAAUACCGCAUACGACCUACGGGUGAAAGCAGGGGAUCUUCGGACCUUGCGCGAUUGAAUGAGCCGAUGUCGGAUUAGCUAGUUGGCGGGGUAAAGGCCCACCAAGGCGACGAUCCGUAGCUGGUCUGAGAGGAUGAUCAGCCACACUGGAACUGAGAAACGGUCCAGAAUCCUACGGGAGGCAGCAGUGGGGAAUAUUGGACAAUGGGCGCAAGCCUGAUCCAGCCAUACCGCGUGGGUGAAGAAGGCCUUCGGGUUGUAAAGCCCUUUUGUUGGGAAAGAAAAGCAGCAGGUUAAUACCCCGCUGUUCUGACGGUACCCAAAGAAUAAGCACCGGCUAACUUCGU